GUCAACUACCUCGGCCUGAAGGCCGAGGCUUGAAAAAGCCUCUAGUUGACUAGCCUCAGUCUGUCGUUUCGAGGACUACGUUGGGUGGGAAUGCACAGGCACCGCGGGAUGCAGAUCCUAGUCCCGCGCUCUGCGGCCGAUGGUUAAAAGCUCUGAGAGGUAGGAGCAGUGCUGUCGGCACGAAACCCCUUCUAACAUUGGCGAAGGAUCACAAC
rfam:Parasutterella excrementihominis CAG:233 genomic scaffold, scf195